UGUUUACUAACAAAAGGCACUUUGAUCUCAGUGAUGCUGCUAAAACCACUCCGAGAGACACAGCAAUUUUAUCUGAAGAUAAUCUCAGGGGAAUAACAGUUAAGUUGAAUCAAGUUAAGUUUCAAAGCAUUCACAGUGUGACUAUUUUUAUCGAGGACAAUCAGUAUGGUUCCGAACGUACAAGAGUUCAAAGAAUUUAUUUGUUUGGAACAUCGAGCUUAUGAGGCACGUGAACACCAAGAGUAGCGUAAUGGAGAGUUGUAGUUUUUUUGUACAUCUUGAGGAAUUUUUUCAGUGUUGAAAGGUUGAAGAGAUGAGUGUUUGUUGUGUAGGGGCGUCAAAGAUGACAACAAACAAUUUUUUGUGAUACGUAAUUGUACUUUUGAGUUCACCAA